UAACAGGACAUAAGCAAACCUGACACAGGCCAGAAGAAAGCAGUCCCAUGUGCUAUCAGACACUUCUGUUCACACCUUUGUCAGCAUGAACAGCCACAUCAUGCACAACAGAAGCCAUUUUCCUGUCCCUUAGCUGUACUCUACCAUUCAUUCCUGGUGUUAUCCCAAUAAAUUAGAGGGUAGUAGGAGGGGAAAAUCAUAGAAUCACCAAGGUAGGAAAAGACUAAGGUCCACCUGACACCAAUAUUUUCUGUUAAACCAUGCACCUCAGUACAACAUCUAAACACUUCUUGAAUGUCUCCAGUGAUUAUGACUUCAUCACCUCCCUGAACAGCUUGUUCCAGCACCUAAUCACUCAAUUCUUUUCCUAUUGUCCAACCUGAAUCUCCCCUAGAAAGGCUUUUGAAGCUUUAUCACUUACACCAGCUGCCUUACCACAGGAGUCAACAAGCCUGCAGGUGAAGGACACUGAAGAUUUCUGAAAGAUCUGGGAAUAAACAGACUCCUGUCAGCUCAACUGAGCAAGAAAGAGGAAGGAAUAAUAGUUCUCUAUAGCCCUACUCAUGCAGAGUUCCUGGAACAGGAAGCUUGGGGGCAGGGCAGCCCCCACCACCCUAUGGAUGCACAUGCAUGGAAACUGAGCUCUUUUGUCUGUUUUGAAGAGUUGCACAUGUCAUGCAUCUCCCUUCGCUGAGUGCAAGUCAAGUGGAUCUGUUUCCUUCUGUACUUCUAUAUUCCUGUAGCGCUCACAGUCAGAGUAGUCUUAUUCAUCCUUGUUUAUUUAUUAGAAAAUCCCUACAAGUCUAGGCAUUUAAAAUGAAGCAUUAGUUACAUGGAAUACAGGCCCUCAGAGUCCAGAAGUUGCUGGAUAUAUUGCAGAGGUGGACUGGAGCCAGCAGUGACCCAGUGACCUCUGCAGGAGAUGCUGGUAUGGAUGUGAGACACUGGCAGGGCAGUUGUAAUCAUAAGCCAACCUUCUCAACAUAGUUAGCAGGAUAGAGUCCAACGUGGCCAGUGAGAAGUCGGCCCUUGCACCAUCCCUGCUCAUCUUCCUCACUAAUCUUCAUUAGUUCUUCACCUGCUUUAAAGCUCAGCUCAUCUGCCUCCUGUCCUGUGUAAUCAUACAGUGCUCGUACCCGUACACCUGGUACCUUUAUGUCCUCCUCAUGCCCGUUGGCAUCCAGGUACUUCUUUGGAGUGUCCUCAUCUGACCACUCCGAAAUAUCUUCCUUCCCUCCACUGCAUAUGUGGAAACAGACAGGAAACAUGAUGGCAGUUAGACUUCUCUCACACACUUACUCCUUAAUCCACAUACCAUUCUAACCUCUCAGAGACUACUGUGCUAUAGAACAAGUGCAAAAGACCCAGUAGCCAAGUGAGGCUGAACAGGAAAGAAGUGAGAUACCAGAAGACGUUAGAUUUGGUUGAAAGCAUAGCAGUGAUGGGGCCCUGAGGGAUAGGAGGCAGACUCAUUCUCACAGCAUUUCCAUAUAUGCACUUUUCAUGUCUUCCUCCUACUCUAGCAGACCCUCUCCUUCAGGGAAGGUCAGUCCUGAUGGAGAGCCCAGCUGUAUCUAGAGCUAUUCCAGCCAAGAACAGGACAGAGAAGGAAAACCCAUGUCUCCCAUAUUGAACAGAUGUGGCUGGAAUGUUAUUUUCUAAGUCAAAAGCAAGAGCAAAGGGGAAGAGCAGCAGAGGACAGGCACCUGGAACCCAGAAACCCUGAGGAGGCUAUAUUCCGUACUAACUUCACAAAUGUGGGUGCCCUCAGGCUGUCAUAGAGGCUGUUCUGCUCCUCUUGAUAGAAAGACCUGUAGAUGGGCAAAUAGAGCCCCUGAAUCCAUUAGACUGAAAUGGCCUUGAAACACCUUUAUAUUCCCAUUCUUUUCUGCCCAGUUCACUUAUACCAGAGUUCCCCUCUGAAGGCCAGGAUGCUAGCAGCACAGUAGGACAGCGGUCUCUUCAGCCUCUCCCUAUCCUGAUUGCUUCCUGGCAAGGGAGGGCAGCUAUACCCAGACUUGUCAGGGAGUACUCAGCAUCAUAUUAGGGAAAACAAAACAAAACAACAAACCAAAAGUACAAAUAUGCCUGCAUUUAAGAAACAGUACAGCUAACUCACAAAGCUGUCAGUUCCUAAUUUUCCUUACUCUGCCCAGGACAAGAAAGAAUAAGGCCAGAUCUCAUCACUAGAAGGACCUUAAGGCAGGCACCUAGUGAGAAUGAGACAGUAUAUACCAGACCAAGAAGAACCUCCUUUUCUACACUGUCUUGUAUUUCAUGUCCUAUGGGGGCCUUGCCCAAGGCAAGAAGUUAAAAGGUCACUCCUACUCAUUAAUGAUCCUGGGCAGGAAUGUAUUUUUUCCUAACCUGAGGCAUCCCAGAAUUCAGCCCUUACCCUUGCCUCGUCUGUAGAGGAGUCUGUGAAACAACACCAUCCCGUGUAGGCAAAAUGCUGGUCAGUGUGACAUCAUCGGCCACCUUACCACUCUUUUCCUUCUUGGUGAUUGGCCGCUGUGUUUCAAGGGACCAUUCCUGUUCAAGGAAAGAGCAAUACUAUCAAGCCAUUAAGAUAAAAAAAAAAGCUCUAGGCAUAUUUUCUGACCAGUACAGAAGGGAAACAAGUAAAGAACACCAGGUUAUGCUUCAUUUGUGACUGAUCAGUUAAUUGGCCUUGCAGCCAUUAUCAGUCUCACUCCUAUUGAAUUCCAAGGUGCAACAAGAGGGCCUGUAGGACAGGUUACAAUAGGAGCUUAUUCCAAGGUCCUCAGCACCAUCUCCUCUUCCUUGCUCUUGCAGCCAGAUAAGCUGGAGUACUUGCGGUUUAGCGGGGUUGUAAACAUUCCUUUAUGCAAAAAGAUUGCAAUAAACCAAAGUUUCUGAAGAGCCUAGUAUCCUGAGCCUCUGAUGAAGAAGUCUCACUCAAAGACCAGAGAUGCUAGCACAGGUUAGCCUGAAGGGACCAAAUGCCAGCUCUCAGACUUGGAAGGGGAAGUGAAAGAGACCUGCCUGAUGAAUGUCUCUUCAAUACAGAACUAUCAGUCUGCCAAUUUCAGAAAAAGAGAUGGUAAGAAAUAGUAAUAAUACACUUGUGAAUGUUAUCACCUCAAAUUGAGGCCAAUUCAUGGCCAUGCCUGGUCCGUGAGUGUUACGCCACCACUUCAGGUCCUCCUGGUUGUCUGCAGCCAUGAUAACUUGAUAGAGAUCUCGAUACAAUGCUUGAAAGCUAUGGCCAAGAACAGACAGAGCCAUCAGUCCCCCUCAGUAGUUCCCCAAAACCCAGUUAGAAAAGAGGACCUUAACUUCAUGAAUAGCUACACAGCUUAUUAAAUCCUACGAAGUGAAGGUUGCUAGAGUAAUACCUGUUCCUCUGUAGGGAAGAGCAAGAUUUACAGGAGAGUGUGGCAAGCAGGAUAAGCUGUUUGAUGUGGCAGUAGCUAACAUUUGAUGAGCUACGCUGGGAACUGGCAGAUAGGCAUUUCAAGAGCAUGGCACAUUUUAUACCACAAGAUCUCUCUUCUCUGGGCAGAAUGGGCAUCCCUUGCUCAAGUACUAGAAGGUAACAGAAUCUCAAUCCUCCAAUUUUGAUUACAGGCAGCAACAUGGAGGCUUCUCAUGUGAAGGCUGAUCCAAAAGUAAUGCCUCCUAUUUUAUUGUCUUAACCUACAAGAUCAGAGGUAGGUACUGGUGGCACAGCAGUAGAGGUUGAAUCUUCCUGUCAAUAUUCCAUUAUAUUUUGUUGCAGUGAGACAGAUUAUAGCAGAGGGGCACUCUGACAAAAUUGCAUCUGACCUGGAAGUGCACAUGAAGGAAAAUUGUGCCA
rnacentral:lncRNA from 1 species